GACGAACCGUGCGAACGUUGUUCGGAAUCACUGGGCUUAAAGGGCGCGUAGGCGGGUGUGCAAGUCUGUGGUGAAAGCCUCCAGCUUAACUGGAGAAGUGCCGUGGAUACUGCACAUCUUGAGGAGGGUAGGGGCAUCUGGAACGGUCGGUGGAGCGGUGAAAUGCGUUGAUAUCGAGAGGAACACCAGAGGUGAAGACGGGUUGCUGGGCCGACACUGACGCUGAAGCGCGAAAGCCAGGGGAGCAAACGGG
rnacentral:rRNA from 1 species